CAAUUGGAGGGCAAGUCUGGUGCCAGCAGCCGCGGUAAUUCCAGCUCCAAUAGCGUAUAUUAAAGUUGUUGCAGUUAAGAAGCUCGUAGUUGAAUUUCUGCCUUAUCAUUAAUUUCGCUUCCGAACGUAAUUUUAUUGAUUUGGCAUCUUCUGGAUUAUAUAUUAUUUUUAAUAUAUUUUUCCAGUAUUUUACUUUGAGAAAACUAGAGUGUUUCAAACAGGCUUUUGCCUUGAAUACUACAGCAUGGAAUAAUGAAGUAGGACUAUUGGUUCUAUUUUGUUGGUUAUCGAACCAUAGUAAUGGUUAAUAGGAGCAGUUGGGGGCAUUCGUAUUUAACUGUCAGAGGUGAAAUUCUUAGAUUUGUUAAAGACGAACUACUGCGAAAGCAUUUGCCAAGGAUGUUUUCAUUAAUCAAGAACGAAAGUUAGGGGAUCGAAGACGAUCAGAUACCGU
rnacentral:rRNA from 1 species